rnacentral:rRNA from 1 species
UUGGAGGGCAAGUCUGGUGCCAGCAGCCGCGGUAAUUCCAGCUCCAGUAGCGUAUAUUAAAGUUGUUGCAGUUAAAAAGCUCGUAGUUGAAUUUCGGGGUUCUACCGUUGGUCGGGCAAUAGUCUGUACUGGCGUGUAGAAUUUCUACCCUCUGGGGAACUAUCAUGUUAUUUAUUUAGCGUGGUAGGAAACCAGGACCUUUACCUUGAAAAAAUUAGAGUGUUCAAAGCAGGCUUACGUCUGAAUACAUUAGCAUGGAAUAAUAAAAUAGGACGGUGGUCCUGUUUUGUUGGUUUCUGAAUCACCGUAAUGAUUAAUAGGGAUAGUUGGGGGCAUUAGUAUUCAAUUGUCAGAGGUGAAAUUCUUGGAUUUAUUGAAGACUAACUUCUGCGAAAGCAUUUGCCAAGGAUGUUUUCAUUAAUCAAGAACGAAAGUUAGGGGAUCGAAGACGAUCAGAUACCGUCGUAGUCUUAACCAUAAACUAUGCCGACUAGGGAUCGGACGAUGUUAAUUUUUCUUGACUCGUUCGGCGCCUUACGGGAAAC